GACGAACGCUGGCGGCGUGCCUAAUACAUGCAAGUUGAGCGAUGAAGAUUGGUGCUUGCACCAAUUUGAAGAGCAGCGAACGGGUGAGUAACGCGUGGGGAAUCUGCCUUUGAGCGGGGGACAACAUUUGGAAACGAAUGCUAAUACCGCAUAACAACUUUAAACAUAAGUUUUAAGUUUGAAAGAUGCAAUUGCAUCACUCAAAGAUGAUCCCGCGUUGUAUUAGCUAGUUGGUGAGGUAAAGGCUCACCAAGGCGAUGAUACAUAGCCGACCUGAGAGGGUGAUCGGCCACAUUGGGACUGAGACACGGCCCAAACUCCUACGGGAGGCAGCAGUAGGGAAUCUUCGGCAAUGGACGAAAGUCCGACCGAGCAACGCCGCGUGAGUGAAGAAGGUUUUCGGAUCGUAAAACUCUGUUGGUAGAGAAGAACGUUGGUGAGAGUGGAAAGCUCAUCAAGUGACGGUAACUACCCAGAAAGGGACGGCUAACUACGUG
rnacentral:rRNA from 1 species